AUACUCACAUCGGUAGCACAUAUAUUAAAAUUGGAAUGACACACAGAAGAUUAGCAUGGCCCCUGCACAAGGAUGAUGUGAAGAUUCACGAAGCGUUCUGUGUUUUG
ensembl:snRNA U6 U6 spliceosomal RNA